rnacentral:rRNA from 1 species
CCUACGGGAGGCAGCAGUGGGGAAUAUUGGACAAUGGGCGAAAGCCUGAUCCAGCAAUGCCGCGUGAGUGAUGAAGGCCUUAGGGUUGUAAAGCUCUUUUACCAGGGAUGAUAAUGACAGUACCUGGAGAAUAAGCUCCGGCUAACUCCGUGCCAGCAGCCGCGGUAAUACGGAGGGAGCUAGCGUUGUUCGGAAUUACUGGGCGUAAAGCGUACGUAGGCGGUUAUUCAAGUCAGAGGUGAAAGCCUGGAGCUCAACUCCAGAACUGCCUUUGAAACUAGAUAGCUAGAAUCUUGGAGAGGUGAGUGGAAUUCCGAGUGUAGAGGUGAAAUUCGUAGAUAUUCGGAAGAACACCAGUGGCGAAGGCGACUCACUGGACAAGUAUUGACGCUGAGGUACGAAAGCGUGGGGAGCAAACAGGAUUAGAUACCCUGGUAGUCCACGCCGUAAACGAUNAUACUANCUGUNCGGGCUCUACGAGCUUGAGUGGCGCAGCUAACGCAUUAAGUUAUCCGCCGUGGGGAGUACGGUCGCAAGAAUUAAAACCUACGAAAGGAAGUUGGACGG